rnacentral:rRNA from 1 species
CACAGAGUUAGCCGAUGCUUAUUCCUCAGAUACCGUCAUUGUUUCUUCUCCGAGAAAAGAAGUUGACGACCCGUAGGCCUUCCACCUCCACGCGGCAUUGCUCCGUCAGGCUUUCGCCCAUUGCGGAAAAUUCCCCACUGCUGCCUCCCGUAGGAGUCUGGGCCGUGUCUCAGUCCCAAUGUGGCCGGCCAACCUCUCAGUCCGGCUACUGAUCGUCGCCUUGGUGGGCCAUUACCCCGCCAACUAGCUAAUCAGACGCGAGCUCAUCUCAGAGCGAUAAAUCUUUGGCAUCCAAACCAUGCGACUCAGAUGCAUCAUGCGGUAUUAGCGGCUGUUUCCAGCCGUUAUUCCCCACUCCAAGGCAGAUUGCUCACGCGUUACUCACCCGUCCGCCACUUUCCUCAGCUUCCCUCAGACGAAUCCUUGUUCCACUGAUUCUCGUUCGACUUGCAUGUGUUAAGCACGCCGCCAGCGUUCAU